rnacentral:rRNA from 1 species
UCCGCUCCGAUGCUCUAGAUUACGCGAAGACCUUACCAGGGUUUGACAUCCUGCGAAUCUCCUGGAAACGGGAGAGUGCCUUCGGGAACGCAGUGACAGGUGGUGCAUGGCUGUCGUCAGCUCGUGUCGUGAGAUGUUGGGUUAAGUCCCGCAACGAGCGCAACCCACGUCUUUAGUUGCCAGCAUUCAGUUGGGCACUCUAGAGAGACCGCCGGUGAUAAACCGGAGGAAGGUGUGGAUGACGUCAAGUCAUCAUGCCCCUUACAUCCUGGGCUACACACGUACUACAAUGCUACGGACAAAGGGCAGCAAACUCGCGAGAGCUAGCAAAUCCCAUAAACCGUGGCUCAGUUCAGAUCGUAGGCUGCAACUCGCCUACGUGAAGGAGGAAUCGCUAGUAAUCGUAGAUCAGCAACGCUACGGUGAAUACGUUCCCGGGUCUUGUA